rnacentral:rRNA from 1 species
AACGUAGGGGGCAAGCGUUGCCCGGAUUCACUGGGCGUAAAGCGGGUGUAGGCGGUUCUUCAAGUCAGAUGUGAAAUCCUGCGGCUCAACCGCGGAACUGCAUCUGAUACUGGGGAACUUGAGGACGGUAGAGGUCGGUGGAAUCCCCGGUGUACCGGUGAAAUGGGCAGAUAUCGGGGGGAACACCAGUGGCGAAGGCGGCCGACUGGGCCGAUCCUGACGCUGAGACCCGAAAGCCAGGGUAGCGAACCGG